rnacentral:rRNA from 1 species
GUGGUGCACGGCUGUCGUCAGCUCGUGCCGUGAGGUGUCAGGUUAAGUCCUAUAACGAGCGCAACCCCUGUUGUUAGUUGCCAGCGAGUCAAGUCGGGAACUCUAACAAGACUGCCAGUGCAAACUGUGAGGAAGGUGUGGAUGACGU